CACCGCGGUUAUACGAGAGGCCCAAGUUGAUAAAUGCCGGCGUAAAAAGUGGUUAGUAAUACACCCUACUAAAGCCAAACAUCUUCAAAGCUGUCAUACGCUCCCGAAGACAGGAAGCCCCUCUACGAAAGUGGCUUUAGGUUAUACCCUCCACGAAAGCUAGGAAA
rnacentral:rRNA from 1 species